rnacentral:tRNA from 2 species
GUCGGUGUACUCUUAACCGGUAAAGCGGCACCCUUCAGGCCAUCAACACUGUUGGGAUGUUUAUGUGGGUUCGACCCCCACCACCGACC